AUGAUCACAUCACUCUGAAAUACUGGAUCCUGUAUGAUCACCAAAGUUAAGCAUUGUCAAAUCAGGUCAGUACCUAGAUGGGUGACUGCAUGGGAAUACCAGGUGCUAUA